UAAAAGAUCUUCAGGAGCAAACUUUGGUACUUAUUGAUUAUAGGUCGGAGAUCAACAUCAUAUCAAAGAAGAUUUAUGAGAUAAGCGAGUGACUCAUCGAUGUUAAUCAUUGAUGGGUGUUGAGGGUUUCCAACAAUAAGCAAGGUGAUUUGUAUGGAGCAUGUUUAGAAGUUAGGACAAUGAUUGGAGAUAUAGAGAUAAAACAAAAUUUCUUUGUAAUUUAAAACAAUCUUA
rnacentral:lncRNA from 1 species